UACGGGGGGGGCAAGCGUUGUUCGGAUUUACUGGGCGUAAAGCGCACGUAGGCGGAUUGUUAAGUCAGGGGUGAAAUCCUGGAGCUCAACUCCAGAACUGCCUUUGAUACUGGCAAUCUAGAGUCCGGAAGAGGUGAGUGGAACUCCUAGUGUAGAGGUGGAAUUCGUAGAUAUUAGGAAGAACAUCCAGUGGCGAAGGCGGCUCACUGGUCCGGUACUGACGCUGAGGUGCGAAAGCGUGGGGAGCAAACAGG
rnacentral:rRNA from 1 species